CUCAGCGUCAGGACCGAGAGAUACAUGUUGGGGGAAGAUCCCCUGGGAUGAUCCGGGCGGGGAGCGUACGGGGAACUUGAGAUGGAGCAGAAGGAUCAAAGAUGAGGAAAAGGGGUGAAUGUGGGGCUGGACGCUGGAGCGUCGGGCAAUCUCACCCGUGAGCCGGUCCUUGGCAAAGCGGCGGCCGCUGUCCAUCCAAGGGAAGCAAGGAAAGCAGGCUAGAAGCCACUGCAAUCAAUCAUCCAGAAGACAGAUGAUGCUAUCUUGGACCAGGGAGGGUAACUCCCUCCCUUCAAAAAGAAGAAAGAAAGAAAGAAAGAAAGAAAGAAAGAAA